CUAGUGAGGGAGUAAAGUUACGAAUUGAGGGGUGUGGCUAGCUAUGUAUAAAGAUUGGUGGUAGGAACGAGAACGGUAGGUGCGUUUGUUUCCAGCCGGCGGGAAUAGAUCGACACUCUUACUGUUUGUUUGCGAGAGGUUCGCGUGUGGAUUUUCUUGGAUCUCGGAGAUGGCUCUAUGGAGCCCAUUGGUUCAUAUGCAAGAGGUUUGCAUGUGCUGUCUUUUGGAUCUUUGACAUAGCUCUAUGGAGCUCAGUUGUUGCUCUUGUUGUAUUUGAGUUUAUUUAUUUUUUUGGUUUGAAUGUGUUGGUUUGGAUAUAUUGUCUAGUCCGCCCAGGUAUUUAGAUCGGUAAUUGGGCUGGAAGAUGUGGUUAUGGCCCUUUGGGCGGACUAGUUUAAUUUGUUUCUUUUUUGUAAUUUGUUUGUUUCCCCCAUUGUUUGUAUACUUUACAAGGACACUAGUCGAGUGUUGGAGCAGAGUUGAGCUAUUUUUGCAUGUAAUUCACUUUGAUGAAUUGUGUGAAUCACAAGGUUUCUUUUUAUGAAUUUAUGUACAGUGUUUUUUUUUUUUUUUUUUUUUUUUUUUUUUUUUGGUGUGGGUUGAUACUCAACUCUUGCUUGGUUACCUCCAUAUAUAGGGUGUCCUGCAUAAUAACUUUGUAAAGCCAUCAAUAAAUCUUGGAUUUAUUUAAACGAACCUGAGUUGUGUUUAUGUAAAGGUGACCCUUGUUACAGUAUGAAUACUUAUCCACUUUUUCAUGAGAAAUGCUGUCCAAAUGUCCUGUUUGUCAUGAUGACGUCUAA